rnacentral:rRNA from 1 species
GACGAACGCUGGCGGCGUGCUUAACACAUGCAAGUCGAACGGAAAGGCCCUGCUUUUGUGGGGUGCUCGAGUGGCGAACGGGUGAGUAACACGUGAGUAACCUGCCCUUGACUUUGGGAUAACUUCAGGAAACUGGGGCUAAUACCGGAUAGGAGCUCCUGCUGCAUGGUGGGGGUUGGAAAGUUUCGGCGGUUGGGGAUGGACUCGCGGCUUAUCAGCUUGUUGGUGGGGUAGUGGCUUACCAAGGCUUUGACGGGUAGCCGGCCUGAGAGGGUGACGGGCCACAUUGGGACUGAGAUACGGCCCAGACUCCUACGGGAGGCAGCAGUGGGGAAUAUUGCACAAUGGGCGGGAGCCUGAUGCAGCAACGCCGCGUGCGGGAUGACGGCCUUCGGGUUGUAAACCGCUUUCGCCUGUGACGAAGCGUGAGUGACGGUAAUGGGUAAAGAAGCACCGGCUAACUACGUG